rnacentral:rRNA from 1 species
AUUGAACGCUGGCGGCAGGCUUAACACAUGCAAGUCGAGCGGAGAGAGGUAGCUUGCUACUGAUCUUAGCGGCGGACGGGUGAGUAAUGCUUAGGAAUCUGCCUAUUAGUGGGGGACAACAUUUCGAAAGGAAUGCUAAUACCGCAUACGUCCUACGGGAGAAAGCAGGGGAUCUUCGGACCUUGCGCUAAUAGAUGAGCCUAAGUCGGAUUAGCUAGUUGGUAGGGUAACGGCCUACCAAGGCGACGAUCCGUAACUGGUCUGAGAGGAUGAUCAGUCACACUGGAACUGAGACACGGUCCAGACUCCUACGGGAGGCAGCAGUGGGGAAUAUUGGACAAUGGGCGAAAGCCUGAUCCAGCCAUGCCGCGUGUGUGAAGAAGGCCCUCGGGUCGUAAAGCACUUUAAGUUGGGAGGAAGGACUUACAGCGAAUACCUGUGAGUUUUGACGUUACCGACAGAAUAAGCACCGGCUAACUUCGUGCCAGCAGCCGCAGUAA